AGCUCCUGGGAAAUCCAGAAACUCUAGAGAAGCUUGUUUGCCAAACCUUGCUUUGGGCGGUGGAGACAGAAUAUCAUGUCCCAGAUCAGCGUGUGGUGACUGUGGAGGCAUUUACACACAGCACACUCCAGCUCUGCCACUGGGCCGGCUGAGGUGGCUGCGGUACACGGCGCCCAUCCUGAGCCCCAGGUUCCUCACAUGUCAACAGCAUGAAAAGUGCCUCUAAGACAUCCACAGGUGUGCAGUGUUAAAGCAGGCAGCGCCUCAGCUUGGUUAGCUCCCUUAAGGACUGCGGCUCCCUUAGGACAAGGCUCUGUCCCUCAGAGCACUGAGUGCGAUCUCAUGCUGGCAUCUUAGAGACAUUGUAUUCACCAGGUAAGAUGGAUUCACAUCUGCUGGGUGCACGAACACUUCCUCCUUCCUUGCCACCAGCCAGCAUCACAACCAGCCUGGCCAGGCUCCCGUCCCAGCCCAGCCUAGCAGCUAACCCCAGCUCCAUCCCCCAGCAAGCCCCUCUGCCUGCACCUCAGCUUCUUCAUGGAAGACGAGUCAGGUCAUGAUGCCACCAGGGAGCGUGUUUCCAUGUUGAACUGAGACACUAAGCCCUUGACAAAUGUUGGCCAAGAAAAAAAAGGGGCUCCAAGAGGGGAGCUGUGGCUCAGGUAGAAGACGGUGAAUGAGCAUUGCCUGAAUCAGAGUUAGCUACUCUGGUUACACAGGUGUCCCCGGCAGGUUGGUCAAAAGCCCUUCCCUGAGUCCCGUGAUAAGUGUGGGGAGGGAGGCAAAUCAAAGACCCCUACACACCUCCUGCAUGGAUGGCCAGAGCGCUGGUCCCACCUCCUUCCUUCCAAACUGCAACCCCGAUCAGCACAGCAGAGAAGUCUCCUGUGGCAGGGACCAGUAAUUCAGUGCUUCCCCUGGAGAGUCUGGGAUUGCACAGAACACCAGAGGCUGGGGAUUUAUUUGUUCACCAACAUUCAUUCAACAAACACUUACUGAGGCCAACACUGGGAAUGGAGACGAACUUCCCUGUCCUCAUGGAGCUUGCUUUCAAAAGGGAAGGAGGCAGACAGUAAACAAAACAAGCAAGUCAAUAUACAGCAUGAUGCAGAAAAGGUGUGAUGCCACCCUCUUGCCUGAGUUUAUAACAAGCAGAUGAUGUUGUCCUAAGAAUUAAUUUCAGCCGGUGAAAGAGUACAGGCAAAAAACGUGGUCUCGGACUUUCCGGUGAUGCUUAAGAACAUAGUUGCAGUUUUUGUUCUGAUUCUUUGUGCAUCUCGCGCUAAUGAAGGAUUCUGCCAUGAUUGCCACCUCUGGAGACGUCACAGCCAGCACAGCCAUGACCAGGGAUGAACUUGGCCAUUGUCCAGCAGCACCAUGGGAGGACCAGCUGCUGUAAGUGAAGGUCAUCAUCCAUCUGAUUUGCUGGCUUUUUGCAACUACUGCGGUGGAAGUCUUAGAGUAGCCACCUUCUCUGUACUCAGACCUUCACUUCGCCAGAUGUCAGCACAGCAGUGUCAGCAGCUUCGUCAAACACAAACACCACCACCUCUCUGGAUCAGAAGCACAUGGAAAGCCCACCUUGCAAGAAGACCCAGCUAUUCCAAAAGUACCCAUAUCCCUGUAGCAUCCUCUUAGCUGAAUGUCUCUACUCCUUAAACUUGUACCACUUUGAAGAGUAAAAAUUUAAAUUCAUUCAUAUUAUCAUUUUUUAGUUUUUAGUAUAAGUGGAGCUGUUUAUCGGCCAUUUGUAUGUCCUUUUCUUUUUUUUGCAAAUUACUCCUUUGCCAAAUUUUCUCUCAAAUGACUCAUCUUUUUCUUAUUGAUUUGCAGAAGCUAUUUACAUAUUAUGGAUGUGGGGUGUCUAACAUACACAGCAAAUACUUUGUCCCAGUGUGUCACUUUUUAAAAAAAUUCUUAUAAUGUCUUUCAUCUUUAAAAAAUUAUUAAGCUA
rnacentral:lncRNA from 1 species